rnacentral:tRNA from 2 species
CAGGGCGUAAUUCAGAUGGCUAGAAUGCACGGCUGGGGGUCGUGAUGUCGCGAGUUCAAGUCUCGCCGCCCUGA